rnacentral:rRNA from 1 species
GACGAACGCUGGCGGCGUGCCUAAUACAUGCAAGUAGAACGAGUUGCGAACGGGGGAGUAACGCGUGGUAACCUGCCUCAUAGCGGGGGAUAACUAUUGGAAACGAUAGCUAAUACCGCAUACUGUGAGAUGGAACCGCGUUGUAUUAGCUAGUUGGUGAGGUAAAGGCUCACCAAGGCGACGAUCCCUAGCUGGUCUGAGAGGAUGCACAGCCACCAUGUAACGGAUACACGGUCCAGACGCCUACGUGAGGCAGCAUGGGGUAAUAUUGCACAAUGGGCGCAAUCCUGAUGCAGCCGUGCCGCUGGUAUGAAGAAGGCCUUCGGGUUGUAAAGUACUUGCAGCGGGGAGGCGUUACCCGCAGAAGAAGCACCGGCUAACUCCGUGCCAGCAGCCGCGGUAAUUC